AACGAACGCUGGCGGCAUGCCUAACACAUGCAAGUCGAACGAGAUCUUCGGGUCUAGUGGCGCACGGGUGCGUAACGCGUGGGAAUCUGCCCUUUGGUUCGGAAUAACAGUUGGAAACGACUGCUAAUACCGGAUGAUGACGAAAGUCCAAAGAUUUAUCGCCAGAGGAUGAGCCCGCGUAGGAUUAGCUAGUUGGUGUGGUAAAGGCGCACCAAGGCGACGAUCCUUAGCUGGUCUGAGAGGAUGAUCAGCAACACUGGGACUGAGACACGGCCCAGACUCCUACGGGGGGCAGCAGGGGGGAAUAUUGGACAAUGGGCGAAAGCCUGAUCCAGCAAUGCCGCGUGAGUGAUGAAGGCCUUAGGGUUGUAAAGCUCUUUUACCCGGGAUGAUAAUGACAGUACCGGGAGAAUAAGCUCCGGCUAACUCCGGGCCAGCAGCCGCCGUAA
rnacentral:rRNA from 1 species